rnacentral:rRNA from 1 species
GAUGAACGCUGGCGGCGUGCCUAAUACAUGCAAGUCGAGCGAACUGAUUAGAAGCUUGCUUCUAUGACGUUAGCGGCGGACGGGUGAGUAACACGUGGGCAACCUGCCUGUAAGACUGGGAUAACUUCGGGAAACCGAAGCUAAUACCGGAUAGGAUCUUCUCCUUCAUGGGAGAUGAUUGAAAGAUGGUUUCGGCUAUCACUUACAGAUGGGCCCGCGGUGCAUUAGCUAGUUGGUGAGGUAACGGCUCACCAAGGCAACGAUGCAUAGCCGAACUGGGAGGGUGAUCGGCAACACUGGGACUGAGACACGGCCCAGACUCCUACGGGAGGCAGCAGUAGGGAAUCUUCCGCAAUGGACGAAAGUCUGACGGAGCAACGCCGCGUGAGUGAUGAAGGCUUUCGGGUCGUAAAACUCUGUUGUUAGGGAAGAACAAGUACAAGAGUAACUGCUUGUACCUUGACGGUACCUAACCAGAAAGCCACGGCUAACUACGUGCCAGCCGCGGCUGUAA